rnacentral:rRNA from 1 species
UUUCGAAUCAUUCACAAUGGGCGAAAGCCUGAUGGUGCGACGCCGCGUGAGGGAUGAAGGUCUUCGGAUUGUAAACCUCUGUCACCGGGGAAGAAACGCUUCAUGUUAAUAGUAUGAAGCCUGACUUAACCCGGAGAGGAAGCAGUGGCUAACUCUGUG